ACCUGUUUAACGACUCUACUCGAAACACGGCGAAGACGCCCUUAGCAACAAACCAGACAAUCACACUCAACAACAAAAAAUAUAGGAGCUCCUGCUGUUGACAAGACUGGUUAAAACAUAAGUCGUUUUUAAAACGGCGCUAACGCACUGAGGACAUAUAAUAUCACCCGAAAGAGAUCUCCGAAUUCAGCGAGAACGGAGGGCUUUUGCCCAGAGUUGAGGUAACGUUAGCUAGCUAGCUAACCGACGAUAACCCGUCUCAAGAGAAAACAGCUUCCCAAGCAUUCCGGAAGAAGGACGAAUCCUGGUCCGAUCGAAGCAAGAAACUCACUAGUUACAUUGCUAACUAAUCAGUCAACGCAAAUAAACUCGAGAUUUUUUUCCUUUGGGAAUGGUUCUCUGUGUGGAUAUAGUAAUCAACCGACAGAGAAAGACGAGGGCCACACGGGUCAGACAGCUAAGCUGUCAUUUUGGGACUCCAACUAUUUUGGACAGCGGGAGUAAUUUAACGUUUGCUCAGUCGGACGUGUGUUUUUGUGGCUGUGCUAACGUUAGCUGACGGAAACGAGAAACGACCCCCAUCGCUGGAACUUUUUCCAGACUGCAGGGCUAGCGAGUUGGCAAAGCCAUGGUUUUUAGGACGAGAGCAAGGUCCGAUUGUGUAGGUAGAGAGUCCUAGCUAGAAUAUUAAAGUUGAGCAAGUGAGCAAAGCUAUAUUAAAACCAACUUAUGUAGCUAUAUUUCAUCCAACGAAGUUGGCUAGCAGGGGAUAUUUUUGGAUCACUUGAACUAGCUACACGAGCACGAAUUGCAAGUGAUACAAGCUGCCCUCUUAAGUAUUUUAUUAUAACUAGCCAAGUGUUGGCAAAUUUUUAUUUUUAUUUUUUAUACGGUUGUUUUUACAAAAGAUUUUUAACUUCCACCUCGGAUGCUGGCUUCAACGUUAAACUGCAAUCAUGAUGGUAUUACAAAGAAAAGCAGAAGACCCCAUAACAGCAGGUACCAGUUAAGAAGUACCCGAUCUGCCAGGGCACCAAGGGCUUCUGCCAGGGCACCAAGGGCUUCUGCCAGGGCACCAAGGGCUUCUGCCAGGGCUGCAAGGGCUUCUGCCAGGGCACCAAGGGCUUCUGCCAGGGCACCAAGGGCUUCUGCCAGGGCACCAAGGGCUUCUGCCAGGGCUGCAAGGCCAUUAACUAAAAUUGCUAAGUAAAUUGAUUUGAAAACUGAAAAAUUGUAGGAAUUCUGUGAAGAAAAACAAAAGUGUAUGUAAAUGUACAUAAGUAAUUAGCCUUUAUGUUGAUGUGUAGGUGAUAGCCGAUGCCUAUUGGCUACAUACAGCCUGUCAUGUCCAGACCGAUGCUGAUAUAAGGGAGGAGACUGAAAAUGAGCCAAACUUUCUUGAGACUGAUUCCAUUGGUUACUACGUGAUUCCAUAUGUGUUAUUUUAUAGUUUUGAUAUCGUCACUAUUAUUCUACAAUGUAGUAAAAUAAAGAAAUCAGUAGGUGUGCCCAAACUUUUGACUGGUACUGUAUAUUCUAUACAUGU
rnacentral:lncRNA from 1 species